GUCCACGCCGUAAACGAUGGAUGCUAGUUGUCAGUAAGUAUACUUAUUGGUGACGCAGCUAACGCCUUAAGCAUCCCGCCUGGGGAGUACGGCCGCAAGGUUAAAACUCAAAGAAAUUGACGGGGGCCCGCACAAGCGGUGGAGCAUGUGGUUUAAUUCGAAGCAACGCGCAGAACCUUACCCACGUUUGACAUGUCGAGGUAUUGGACCAGAGAUGGACCAAGCUCUUCGGAGCCUCGAACACAGGUGCUGCAUGGCUGUCGU
rnacentral:rRNA from 1 species